AUGGGCGCGACUAGUGAGUGGCACGCGAACCCACCCUCCGAGCAGGGCAGGGCGGGCCGCCGUGCGGUGGUAACCCUGCUCUGCCCCGCACGGUCGCCGUCUGAUGUGAUGCUCCCCGCGGCUCGCAGUGAGCGGGCGCAGCGUGAGGAGGGUGGGUGCAGGGCUCGGCGCACGGUAGAGGACGGGGGCGGCGGCCGCGGUGGCAGUCAGCAAUCUGUUAUCGGUGAAGAUGUUGCAGGCAUGCAUAGUAUGGCCAGUCCGAUCAGUGUACGCACCAGUCCGAGACAUCCUCUGUCCGUCCCUCAGUCAUCUUUAGUUCGAGCCGCACAUGCUUCACAUUUAGCGAUAAGAGUUGCAGAUCCAUUAUUCCCUUGCGCUAAACUCUCGAAAGCGCGUGCUGUAGUGGCAGCAGCAUUGGAGGUAUCCAAGGCCCCUUCUUCUUCUGGUUUGGCAAACCGCCAGCCAUCGAAGGAGGUUCUUGAGACAUGGCGCAAUGCCAAUGCGGUGUGCUUCGAUGUGGAUAGCACUGUAUGCUUGGAUGAGGGUAUUGACGAGCUUGCUGAUUUCUGUGGGGCUGGGCAGGCAGUUGCUGAGUGGACGACAAAGGCGAUGACAGGGACCGUUCCAUUUGAAGAGGCUCUUGUGGCCUGGAUCUCUUUAAUCAAGCCAUCUCUAUCCCAAGUUGAGGACUGUUUGGAGAAGAGGCCACCCAGGAUUUCUCCUGGAAUCGCUGAUUUGAUUAAGACAUUAAAAGCUAAUAAUACUGAAGUAUUCCUUGUGUCAGGAGGUUUCCGGCAAAUGAUCAAGCCUGUGGCAUUUGAUCUUGGCAUUCCUACUGAAAACAUCAUAGCAAACCAACUGCUAUUUGGAUCAUCUGGAGAGUAUGCUGGAUUUGAUCCCACAGAGCCCACUUCCCGAAGUGGGGGUAAAGCAGUAGCAGUGCAACAAAUAAGACAGGAUCAUGGUUACAAUACACUGGUUAUGAUUGGAGAUGGUGCCACUGAUCUUGAGGCUCGUCAACCUGGUGGAGCAGACUUGUUCAUCUGUUACGCCGGCGUCCAGAUGAGAGAAGCAGUUGCAGCCAAAGCUGACUGGACCGUCUUUGAAUUUCAAGAGCUAAUUUCUGAAUUGUCAUAA
rnacentral:rRNA from 1 species